GGGGAAUAUUGCACAAUGGGGGAAACCCUGAUGCAGCAACGCCGCGUGAAGGAUGAAGGUUUUCGGAUUGUAAACUUCUUUAGUCAGGGACAAAUAAAUGCCGUUACCUAAAAAUAAACCCCGGGUCAAUUACUGGCAAGCAGCCGCGGUAAUACGUAGGUGGCGAGCGUUGUCCGGAAUUACUGGGUGUAAAGGGCGUGUAGGCGGGAAUGUAAGUCAGAUGUGAAAUCCCAGGGCUUAACUCUGGAGCUGCAUCUGAAACUAUGUUUCUUGAGUGUCGGAGAGGAAAGCGGAAUUCCUAGUGUAGCGGUGAAAUGCGUAGAUAUUAGGAGGAACACCAGUGGCGAAGGCGGCUUUCUGGACGAUAACUGACGCUGAGGCGCGAAAGCGUGGGGAGCAAACA
rnacentral:rRNA from 1 species